UCAUGGACGCAGUCUGAACCAGCCAUGCCGCGUGCAGGAAGACGGCUCUAUCNAGUUGUAAACUGCUUUUGUACGAGGGUAAACUCACCUACGUGUAGGUGACUGAAAGUAUCGUACGAAUAAGGAUCGGCUAACUCCGUGCCAGCAGCCGCGGUAAUACGGAGGAUCCGAGCGUUAUCCGGAUUUAUUGGGUUUAAAGGGAGCGUAGAUGGAUGUUUAAGUCAGUUGUGAAAGUUUGCGGCUCAACCGUAAAAUUGCAGUUGAUACUGGAUAUCUUGAGUGCAGUUGAGGCAGGCGGAAUUCGUGGUGUAGCGGUGAAAUGCUUAGAUAUCACGAAGAACUCCGAUUGCGAAGGCAGCCUGCUAAGCUGCAACUGACAUUGAGGCUCGAAAGUGUGGGUAUCAAACAGGAUUAGAUACCCUGGUAGUCCAAGGGCGAAUUC
rnacentral:rRNA from 1 species